rnacentral:rRNA from 1 species
ACCCGUUGAUCCUGCGGGAGAUUGCCGCUAUCAGAAUACGAUUAAGACAUGCAAGUCUUCUAGUAAUAGAGGCGAAAUGCUUUCUAACACGUCGAUAAUCUGCCUUUAGGUCUGGAAUAACCUUGGUAAACUGAGGGUAAUACCGGAUAGGGAACUUCUACUGGGAUGUGUUUUUCCCCAAAGUUUCGGCGCCUAAAGAUGAGUCGGCGGCGGAUUAGGUUGUUGGUGGGGUAAUGGCCCACCAAGCCGAAGAUCCGUAGGGGCCUUGAAAGAGGUAGCCCCAAGAAGGACACUGAGAUACUGGUCCUAGCCCUACGGGGUGCAGCAGUCGCGAAACCUUGUCAAUGCACGCAAGUGCGAGCAGGGAAUUCUGAGUGCUCAUGUUUUGCAUGGGCUUUUGCCAAGAGUUGAAAUCUUGGCGAAUAAGUGGUGGGUAAGACUGGUGCCAGCAGCCGCGGUAACACCAGCGCCACGAGUGGGAAUCGUAUAUUUGGCCUAAAGCGUCCGUAGCCGGAUUGGCAAAUUUUCUGUGAAAUCGAACAGCUUAACUGUUCGGCGGGCAGAAAACACUACCAUUCUUGGAACCGGGAGGGGUACAGAGUAUUCCAGGGGAAGCGGUAAAAUGCUAUAAUCCCUGGAGGACUACCUAUGGCGAAGGCACUGUACCAGAACGGAUUCGACGGUGAGGGACGAAAGCCAGGGGAGCGAUCCGGAUUAGAUACCCGAGUAGUCCUGGCCGUAAACGCUGUGAGCUAGGUGUUGCACAUUCUCCGUGAAUGUGCAGUAUCGAAGUGAAGAUGUUAAGCUCACCGCCUGGGAAGUAUGGUCGCAAGGCUGAAACUUAAAGGAAUUGGCGGGGGAGCACUACCAGGGGUGCGGCGUGCGGUUUAAUCUAAUUCAACGCAGAGAACCUCACUAGGUGCGACGGCAGAAUGAAGGUCAGGCUGAAGACCUUACCAGACGAGCCGAGAGGUGGUGCAUGGCCGUCGUCAGCCCGUGCUGUAAAGUGUCCUGUUAAGUCAGGCAACGAGCAAGACCUGUGCCUAUAAUUGCUAACGGCUUCAUUGAAGGACUGAGCACAUUAUGGGAACUGCCCUGGAAACAGGGAGGAAGGUGCAGGCUACGAUAGGUCUGUAUGCCCCGAAUCUCCUAGGCUACACGCGCGCAACAAUGGUAGAGACAAUGGGCCACAACCCCGAAAGGGGAAGUUAAUCCUCGAAACUCUACCUUAGUUUAGAUUGAGGGUUGGAACUCACCCUCAUGACAACGGAAUCCCUAGUAAUCAGACGUUAGCAUCGUCUGGUGAAUAUGUCCCUGCUCCUUGUACACACCGCCCGUCAAACCAACCGAGCAGGGUUUAGGUGAGUGUCAUCUUCUUAGGUGCCACGAAUCUAAACUCAGUGAGGUGGGUUAAGUCGUCACAAGGUA